rnacentral:rRNA from 1 species
GAUGAACGCUGGCGGCGUGCCUCAAACAUGCAAGUCGAGCGGGGCUAUGUAAUAUCGCAAGGUAGAACAUAGCCUAGCGGCGAACGGGUGAGUAACACGUGGGUAACCUGCCUGGAAGACAGGGAUAACGAUUCGAAAGGGUCGCUAAUACCUGAUAAUAUCCUUUCAUCGCAUGGUGAUAGGAAGAAAGGGGAAACCCGCUUUCAGAUGGGCCCGCGUCCCAUCAGCUAGUUGGUAAGGUAAAGGCUUACCAAGGCGACGACGGGUAGCCGGUCUGAGAGGAUGUACGGCCACACUGGGACUGAGAUACGGCCCAGACUCCUACGGGAGGCAGCAGUUGGGAAUCUUCCGCAAUGGGCGCAAGCCUGACGGAGCAACGCCGCGUGAGUGAAGAAGGCCUUGGGUUGUAAAACUCUAGUCAUCAGGGAAGAAGAAAGUGACGGUACCGUGAGGAGGAAGCCCCGGCUAACUACGUG